UGCAGGAGACAAGCCCAUUUUUUAACAGAAAUUGUAUAACAUCCUUAGUUUCACAUUGCCGGUUGUUUCCCACUCGAAAUGUUGCGUGUUUAUGAGGAAAUUGCGAUUAAUGUAGCGAAAAUUAUUACUAACGUAUCCUGAGGUGCGGUCCAAUCCAAAGGCCGGUUGCUACACAUCCACCAAUGGCAUUUUCCGGCGAGUUAACGUCACACCAGGAAGUGAACGUUCUCGUCUUGUGUGAACGUGUGAAGUCUUCACGGAGAAACUUUCAGAUGCGAUGUCCCAACAAGAAUCUGCCAGUAGGCUACCACAUUACACCUCAGCAGGCACACCAGAGAAGGACCACUCCUGGAUAAGGAUUUGAGCUACUGUCACGACUGCCAUCUACACUAUAUUACACACGGCAGCAGAUGUGGGAGGUGGUGAUCAACGUGACUCGUGAGCAGGUGGAGGACUUCCACGGCCCCGCAGACUACUGCUUCCUGUGUGUGGCCUGGAGCCACCUGAGGACCUCCAAGAGCUGGCAAGGACACGGUCCGCAUCGCCCAACAUGGACAAACAGGGUGCCCAUCAUCAGCUGCUGUGACGGGCCUUCCAUGGUGUUGCUGUGAUUAUUGCAAGGACAAACAAAAACUGUUUUGUUUGGUUUAUACAAACCAAAACAAUAUGUAAAUAAACUACACAAUUUGUACUGCUAAAUCCUGCAAUUGUAAGUAGUUAUUAAGUAAUGGCUGUGUGCAUUUGUAUUAGUAAAAGCAGCAUAUAAAAAUACAUUACACAUACGUAAAGCCUGUUCUGGCCUUUUCUGUUCAGCAUUAUGAGAAGUCAAAUGGUAAAGGCAUGUUAAUAUACA